GGUUCGAUGGCGUAGUUGGUUAUCGCAUCUGUCUAACAUGUCGUAGUUUCACAGAAGGUCCCCGGUUCGAGCCCGGGUCGAAUCA